rnacentral:rRNA from 1 species
UGCGCAGGCGGUUCAGCAAGCUUGGUGUUAAAUACCCCGGCCCAACCGGGGGCUGCGCUGAGAACUGCUGGGCUUGAGUUCAGGAGGGGAAGCUGGAAUUCCUGGUGUAGGGGUGAAAUCUGUAGAGAUCAGGAAGAACACCGGUGGCGAAGGCGAGCUUCUGGCCAUGGACUGACGCUGAGGCACGAAAGCGUGGGGAGCGAACA